rnacentral:rRNA from 1 species
AUUGAACGCUGGCGGCAUGCUUUACACAUGCAAGUCGAACGGCAGCGGGGUAGUGCUUGCACUACUGCCGGCGAGUGGCGAACGGGUGAGUAAUAUAUCGGAACGUACCGAGUAAUGGGGGAUAACCAAUCGAAAGAUUGGCUAAUACCGCAUACGUCCUGAGGGAGAAAGCGGGGGAUCGCAAGACCUCGCGUUAUUCGAGCGGCCGAUAACUGAUUAGCUAGUUGGUGGGGUAAAGGCCUACCAAGGCGACGAUCAGUAGCGGGUCUGAGAGGACGAUCCGCCACACUGGGACUGAGACACGGCCCAGACUCCUACGGGAGGCAGCAGUGGGGAAUUUUGGACAAUGGGGGCAACCCUGAUCCAGCCAUGCCGCGUGUACGAAGAAGGCCUUCGGGUUGUAAAGUACUUUUGUUAGGGAAGAAAAGGGAAGUGCUAAUACCACUUUUUGCUGACGGUACCUAAAGAAUAAGCACCGGCUAACUACGUG